AGUGUGUGUGACACAAAGACUGGCCUCUCCCAAAGCGAGUGAGCCAGAACAAACCAAGCAGAAGCCACUGGGUCCCUUAUGACCUUAUCUUGGGAGUCUUGCAUUGCUAUUUGCAUAAUAUUCUAAUUAUUUAUAGAAUUCAGCUAUAUAUCACAGUGAACAACGUGAACUCCAGAGAGUGACUCACCAGGAGCAAUUGAGGGUUGGCGACCACAAGUCAGAACAAAGACGAUGAACUGAAGUGCGGCUUUGAAAUCUGCAUGGCUUUGAAUAUUUCCUUAUGUCCCCUCCGCACAGGUCGGUGCCUUUUAUCUGUUCAAGAUCACGUGACCGGCUGAGUGUAGAAUUGACUUUAAAUAUCUACUCUUCUGAAGAGAGAGUUCUGAGCACAGACCUGGUGUGUACCACCUAGUUUGAGCCUACGUUUCUUGCACAAGGGAAAUAAUAACAGUUAACUUUACAGGCUUCUUGUAGCUGCAACCCAAAAGGCCGCAUAAUAGAAUAUAAGAUGUCCUCCUAGAAGCAUUUUUGAAGUUUGUUGUAUUCAUGAGUUCCUGAAAUUUCAUGAUGCUGUCUGUGUUGGAAUUCCUCAGAUAUUUAAAGGGAAAGGAGAAAGCUGGGCUGUUGUCAGCACGGGAGAAUCAGAGACUAUAACGCUCUCCUCUGGGCUUCCUCCUUUUUUGAUGAUUGCCUCUGAAAGAAGCCAAGAGUUCCCGACGGGCACACAUUAGUUGAU
rnacentral:lncRNA from 1 species